rnacentral:rRNA from 1 species
GAUGAACGCUGGCGGCGUGCCUAAUACAUGCAAGUCGAGCGAACGGACGAUAAUCUUGCUUCUCUGAUGUUAGCGGCGGACGGGUGAGUAACACGUGUAUAACCUACCUAUAAGACUGGGAUAACUUCGGGAAACCGUAGCUAAUACCGUAUAAUAUUUUGAACCGCAUUGUUCAAAAGUGAAAGACGGUCUUGCUGUCACUUAUAGAUGGAUCCGCGCUGCAUUAGCUAGUUGGUAAGUUAACGGCUUACCAAGGCAACGAUGCAUAGCCGACCUGUGAGGGUGAUCGGCCACACUGGAAGUGAGACACGGUCCAGACGCCUACGGGAGGCAGCAGUAGGGAAUCUUCCGCAAUGGGCGAAAGCCUGACGGAGCAACGCCGCGUGAGUGAUGAAGGUCUUCGGAUCGUAAAACUCUGUUAUUAGGGAAGAACAUAUGUGUAAGUAACUGUGCACAUCUUGACGGUACCUAAUCAGAAAGCAACGGCUAACUACGUG